AACCUCCGCAAUGUGAGAAAUCGCGACGGGGGGAUCCCAAGUGCCAUUCUUAACGGGAUGGCUUUUCAUUAGUGUAAAGAGCUUUUGGAAUAAGGGCUGGGCAAGACCGGUGCCAGCCGCCGCGGUAACACCGGCAGCUCUAGUGGUAGCAGUUUUUAUUGGGCCUAAAGCGUCCGUAGCCGGUUUAAUAAGUCUCUGGUGAAAUCCUGUAGCUUAACUGUGGGAAUUGCUGGAGAUACUAUUAGACUUGAGAUCGGGAGAGGUUAGAGGUACUCCCAGGGUAGAGGUGAAAUUCUGUAAUCCUGGGAGGAUCGCCUGUUGCGAAGGCGUCUAACUGGAACGAUCUUGACGGUGAGUAACGAAAGCCAGGGGCGCGAACCGGAUUAGAUACCCGGGUAGUCCUAACUGUAAACGAUGCGGACUUGGUGUUGGGGUGGCUUUGAGCUGCUCCAGUGCCGAAGGGAGCUGUUAAGUCCGCCGCCUGGGAAGUACGGUCGCAAGACUGAAACUUAAAGGAAGU
rnacentral:rRNA from 1 species